rnacentral:rRNA from 1 species
CAAUAAACACCCCGGCUGGGGAGUACGGUCGCAAGAUUAGAACUCAAAGGAAUAGACGGGGACCCGCACAAGUGGUGGAGCAUGUGGUUUAAUUCGAAGAUACGGGAAGAACCUUACCUGGCCUUGACAUCCCUAGAAUCCCGUAGAGAUACGGGAGUGCCUCUUUGAGGAACUUGGUGACAGGUGCUGCACGGCUGUCGUCAGCUCGUGUCGUGAGAUGUUGGGUUAAGUCCCGCAACGAGCGCAACCCUCGUCAUUAGUUACUAACGGUUCGGCCGAGGACUCUAAGGAGACUGCCCGGGUAACCGGGAGGAAGGUGAGGACGACGUCAAGUCAUCAUGGCCCUUACGGCCAGGGCAACACACGUGCUACAAUGGCGUGCACAAUGAGAUGCGAUACCGCGAGGUGGAGCAAAUCUAUAAAACACGUCCCAGUUCGGAUUGCAGUCUGCAACUCGACUGCAUGAAGCCGGAAUCACUAGUAAUCGCAGAUCAGCUAUGCUGCGGUGAAUACGUUCCCGGGUCUUGUACUCACCGCCCGUCACACCAUGGGAGUUGAUUUCACCCGAAGCGGGGAAGCUAAACCGGCUACCCUCCACGGUGGGAUCAGCGACUGGGGUGAAGUCGUAACAAGGUA